GAAGCGGCAGCGAGAGAAAAGAGGAAAAGCAGUCAGACCUAGCCCGCGCCCCCGUAGCCGCCUCCUCUCCUGCCGCCGCCGCCUUGGCAUUGUUCGCCUCCUCUCCUGCCGCCGCCACCGCCUUGGCCUCGGCGCCCGUGCUCUCCCGGCGCCCGUCGGCCUCGAUCCGGCCUCAGCAGGAGGAGCUCGGCCUCGAGACUCGGCAGGAGGAGCUCGCCCUCGAGUAGGACUCAACAGGAGGAGGGGAGCAGCAGCUGCGCCCCAUGCUCUCUCGCCACCCUCGAGGUGAAGGUAACGGAUGAAAUCCCAUGGACGAGCUCGAGCUGGAAGGACGCGGACGGCAGCGACUUGGACCAACAUCGUCCUGCCGGUGCCUUGCCGGUGAGCGCCACGCAUGGUGCAGCAGGCGGCAGGCACGACUUUGGGAGCUGCGCAUCGAGCGACGACUACUGCAUCUGCCGCCAGCACCAAGCCAAGAUGUAGAGCGGUGGUCGACGGCGGCAACCUGCUCCCAAGUUGCAAGUGAUGUUGCCAGAUAGCAGUAUACCAAGGGUUCUAAGAAUUUGAUUCAUAAAUGUAGCCAAGAUGCAGCGCGGUGGUCGACGGCGGCGGCCUGCUCCCAAGUUGCAGGUUGCUAAUGCUGUUCAAACAGGUGCGUGCAUGGACAUCUUCAUGAUUACUGAUUAUAAGAUCUUCAUGAUUACUGAUUAUAAGUGAACACACAUAUCUUCUCUCGAGGUUCUGAGUGUUGAGAGUGGUUGCUCAUUGUUUCUGUAUUCAAAUACUGAUGAAUCAACACUUCCAAAAGAUAUACUGAUGGCCAAAGAAGAUUGGGGAAGUUCCACUAUGUUCCUACAGACUGUUGGCCAAAAAAGAUUGGGGGAAAAUAGCUCUGGAGAAGGAUUGAGAUGAAAAUGGGAUUGGGAUCUCACUUCGCAAUGCAUUGAAGAAUCAUGAUAAUUUUUACAGGCUGUUCUUUCUUUAGUACCAAUGAAUAACUUGGUUACACAAUAUACUUGAAGAUUGCAUUAGGAACAAAAUGCUUAGCAGACCAAACUAAUUAGUUUUCUGGAGACAGACUACUCUUGCAUCAUUAUGUGCAACCCACAGGUAUCUCACUCGGCGAGACAUGCACACCUAUGCCACAUCUUUACAUGUAAGUUUGUUUUGCUUAGCCAUGGACAGUGAGGUCCCCCUUCUCUUCAUUCCCAGUUCAUUUAUUUAAUAUCAAUAUCUUUACUCUAGGAUUUAUGUCCUUGCCAACUCUACAAUUGUUCAUUGCACACUCAGAGUCUAGAUAUUGAAUUAGCUACUUUUGCGAUCCCUGGACUAUACGAGUCAAGUAUUUCUGGAUUGCCCAUUUUUCAGCUGGUUAAGGCUUUUUCUAUUGUUUGCAAAUGAAAAUUAUUUGAUGUACCCCUGGUAUGAUACAAGAAGAGUUUGCUCUUUCCCUUUGUAAAAUUUUCUGCACACGAUGUUGUCGAGGAUGAUUUCAGAAUUUAUAUGCUCAUUGCUUCCAUUGCUUCUUUCCCCAUUAACUGAUAUUAGACAGUGGUCUAUAAAUGUUGCACCUGACUCUGUUUUCCAAGGAAAUACGAAUGAAGUUAUAGUACUUGCAAACUGCGACUCUUCGCUGAACAAGAAAAGUAAAUAUGAUAACAUAUUAGGCAGUAAAAUUACAUGGCUGAUCUCUGUUUUGUGCAUGUCAGGUGAGCAUUAUGAGUUGUUCUACUUCCCUUAAGAGAGUGUACUUUCCUCUCAUCAGAUGCUCACUCUGGAAUAAACAAAUCUUUUGGGAUGUAACCUGUUCUUAGUUUUGAUGCCUUACCGUCUGCCUUCUCCUCUCCUUUAUGUUGUUUUUUUGUAAAUUAUUUGUCUAGGCUACUACCAUAACUUGUUGGUUUAGUUUAGGUGUGUAGGAAGAAUUUGCAGAUGAAUCACGCUAUCAGGUUUAGGCGUGCACAUGGCCACUAAUAAUAAUAAAAAUUGAUAUUUGAUGAAGCCAUCAUCAUGUCAUGUAAUUACUUGCAGAACAACUAUAUUGUUUUUUGGGGCGGUAAAGCGGAAAUGAUAGGACUCUGCAACUCAUGUGAGUGUUGUUUGAUUAUUUACUUUUUCAAGCGUGUGGAUGUCGUUGGCAUGUUUAGUAUACGCACGAAGAUAUGCAAAGUGUAAAAGUGGUUUCCUGGGAACGUCAUAUUUUUUUCUCCUGGGAACGAAUGAACUGUUCGUCAGGGAGCGAUCACCCCACCGAACGUUUUUGUUCGAUCUGGGGGAGGAGCUGGAGCGAACGAUUCACCCCAGGCCCCCAUGCAAACAGUUGCCCAUGCAGGCAAAAACAGAACCCUGACUGGGCCUUUACGACCUCCAAUUAGGCCAAAAAAUGGCCCAGUUUUUUGUGACGCCUCAACACUUGGGUCAUCACUCGAGGUUAUUGCUUUUGAGUUUCAGGUGAUAUUUUUUUAAUUGAUUUUUGGGAAAUCAUGAUGCUAAAUAUAUGGAUUGUGUCAGUUAGCUAAUCUAUUGGCUCUUUGAUGUGUAUGAUGACAUGAUGGCAAUGAAAAUACAUUUUCGAACUGAAAGUAUUUGUGUAGUUUAAUUUUGACAGAGUAUAGGAGCAUACUCAAUGUCUUCCGCUUUGUGUAUGAUGGCGGCUUUUCUUGCUUAUAGUAAUCAGCUAAAUAAAUAUGUGGGCAUUUAAAAAUAUCUUUGCAAUUAGGCCAGGCGUGAGAAAAAAAAUUCAAAGACGACGAUCUCUUUUGGUGUAUUUCUAUUCUCCCUGUUCCAAAUCUUUUUGUUUGGAUGCCACCGGCACACCACAUGUUGUUCUGAAGAUAUCAUGCUAUGGGACUUUUCAGCAGAAUCAAAACAAAAGGAAGCUAUGGUGUUACUUGCAUCUCAGUUUUCACAUUCUUCUCAGGUUUCACAAAAACAUAAACAUGAUUGGAUGGGCGUCCUUGCCGGCGACCUCGCUAUCUCCAACCCAUCCACAGAAAAUACCAAAGGAAGUAGCUUGUCGUUUGAAUAUCCCAAGCACGGACUGGUGGGACUACAGUUUGGCAAACAACGCUUCACUAUCUAGGACCGAGUAUGACGAACAAUCACAUGAUGUCUGCAUCUUGAUUAACAUGGAUACAAUAAAUUUCUCCUAAAAACAGGACUUGAGGUUGGUAUGGAUGUCCUGCUUACAUUCAAGAUGAACGUUGGCAAUGAUCUGUACAUGAUAGUUUGCUUCGAUGACAUCUGAGAGGUUUAUAGGUCCUAAUUGAGGUUGUCUUCAGUUCAUUAGUUUUUAUCUCUGCUAUGUUAGCUCUUUUGUGAGGGUCCAGUUUGCUGACCACCUUAGAAGAAACACGCACUUAGAUCAAAAGAUUUUCUUAUGUUAGGAGGUUUCCAUCCAAUCUUCUGAAGAUAGUUUGUUAAUAUAUGUGAUCAUGUACCAUGUGUUCCAUUGCAUAUGACAACUUUGUAUUGGACAUAUGUGGCCAAAGAUCUAUACUGAAACAUCUUGAGAAAUCAUCAGGGAGAAUACUAUGAAUGAGAAUGGACUAAGAAAUUGUGAUACACCUUCCUUUAGGUGCAUUUUCAUUCAGAUGGUGAUCCAGGUUUCUUGGAGCAGUACAUGCUAAUCACCAAUUUGUUUUCUGAUCUUUUUAGUACAAGGCUUUACCAAACUAUCAAUUGAAGUGCAGGUCAACCAAGACUUCAUAUACAUAGGCUGAAAGAUGAAAACUAAAGACCAUGGAGAAGAUCACACCAUCUUUAUCCCAGGAAAAACAACUGCAUGGUCACUUGACUUUACAGACAACACGCUGCACUAUUAACUUUGGUUUAAUUGAUCGACAAUGCGUCUUUGUUAUUAGUUAUAUACUAAGGAACAUGCCUAUGAGUAUAUACUUAGGCUAUGUGUGAGACCAGAUUGUUAACAUAAUACUCUUAGUGAACCCCUAAUUUAUGUUGUCCCUAUGCUUUGGGAGGUUGCAGCUGACAUCCUCGACAAAAAUACCUCCUUAACAAUCGUUCCCGCUUUUCUUUACUUGAAAUUAUUUCUCUGCUCUAGGUGCAAGGAUCUGGGAUAGGUGUAUUUAGUUCUGCAAUGGCGAUGACACAUGUAAAUUAAACCAUUUGUUGUUUGUAUAUUGGAUCUUCCUAAAAACCAGAUGAUGUAUUUUUCACAGGAAAUAAACUUUGUAUUGUCAAACUUAGUUGAAUAACUCCCAGAUUUUAUCUACUUCACUGUUUUUGUGACACUCAUAGGCUGUUUGAUAAUAGGCCUAAAAACCUAGAUGUCUGAUAAUAGGCCUAAAAACCAAGAUGUUUGAUAAUAGGCCUAAAAACCAAGAUAAACUGAUGUUUUCACACCUUUGCUUUGCAUCUGUUUUGACCAGAAGAAAUUGCUUACAGAGUACCUUUCUUACAAAACCUUUCCUCUGCAAUUGUAUUAAGUUACUUUUGAUACCAAACUUUUGUUCUAACCUCAUUAGCAAACCUGAUGACCUGAUCCAAUUACUUACCUGUGUAAAGUGCAAACUUGUGUGCUCACUACCUAUUCUUCUCUUACUGGAGAUGCAUUCACCUGCGUUCCAUUCAAGAAACAGAUAGAUGUUACUAAUUCUAUCCAUGGUGAUUGCAGGCAUAGUUAACUUAUCCUUUGUGUAGUAUGAUUAUUAUACACACUCUUUUCAUUUCUGUUUUCCCCUCCUAAGCCAUUUAUUCUGUCUACCGCAGGUUGCUUGGUGUCCUCUCAUCGUGUCUAUUGGUGCAGUAUCACAUAUCCUCUCUCGAAGAGAUGAGAUAAGGAUUACAGGGCUACCAACAACCCACCUCACCUAUAAUGGAAGACAUCCUGAUUCAUUGUUGCAAGCUAGAGAACAAUAACUAUCAUGUUGGUGAUUUCCUUGAUAUAUGGUUCUACACGUGUGUCAUAUGGACCAAUGAAAGCAAAGAUAUUGCGGAGAUAAUAACUAUAUGGGCUACUCCAAAUGGAGUGGCAGUGGAACCAACACCUUUUAUAGGCCUUCAAGUACCUGUGUGGAAGUCUACCAUGCAAGCAUUAUCCGACGACUAACACUUUGCUUAUGUGUACAUAUCCUCUGAAGACCACAACCGGACUAAGAAGAUGUCUAAAUAAGCUGUGAGGCUGCCUAUAUAUAAGUCUAUUUCUGUAAAUUGAUAUCAGUUAUUCUACUAUCUGUAAACCAAUUUAAGUCAUUCUAUUGUCUGCAAUACAAUCCACAUUGCAUUAUCUUUC